GAUGAACGCUGGCGGCGUGCCUAAUACAUGCAAGUCGAGCGAACAGAUAAGGAGCUUGCUCCUUUGACGUUAGCGGCGGACGGGUGAGUAACACGUGGGUAACCUACCUAUAAGACUGGGAUAACUUCGGGAAACCGGAGCUAAUACCGGAUAAUAUUUCGAACCGCAUGGUUCGAUAGUGAAAGAUGGUUUUGCUAUCACUUAUAGAUGGACCCGCGCCGUAUUAGCUAGUUGGUAAGGUAACGGGUUACCAAGGCGACGAUACGUAGCCGACCUGAGAGGGUGAUCGCCCACACUGGAACUUAGACACGGUCCAGACUCCUACGGGAGGCAGCAGUAGGGAAUCUUCCGCAAUGGGCGAAAGCCUGACGGAGCAACGCCGCGUGAGUGAUGAAGGUCUUCGGAUCGUAAAACUCUGUUAUUAGGGAAGAACAUACGUGUAAGUAACUGUGCACGUCUUGACGGUACCUAAUCAGAAAGCCACGGCUAACUACGUG
rnacentral:rRNA from 1 species